CUCUCUCUCUCUCUCUCUGUGUAAUCCGCUGUUUUUUUUUCCUUUUUUCCUUUCCUUCUUCAAUCUAAUGAACCGACCUCUACCCUUCUCGCCUCUAUCCUCGUUUCUCUAACCCUAACCUGUUCCUCUAUCUUUUCAGUUGCGAAAAUCCCUUCAGAUUAUCCUCUCCAAUUCGAAAAAUCAUAUGCCAACAAUAUAAUUCAGAGGUGAAAAGGCGCAAAUUAUUUGAUAAAUAGCUGCUUAUAUGAUUCAAAUCUCAAUCUGAAACUGACCCAUUAACCAGAGAGAACGAAAGAAGGAAACCCAGACGGUUUUUUGGAAUCUGAUUCUUAUAUAUGGCAAACGGAACGGAGGCUAAGGAUAUGCUGGUGGCGAAGGUCCGACCAGGUUUGAAACGCGAAUUUGAGUUCGCGUUCAGGGCCCACUCAGAGAUCUCUGGGUCUUUGGGUCGGACCCGGGCUAGGCGGCCUGAGGCUGGAGACUCCCCAGUGAAUGGAAUUGCAGAGAGAUCUAUUAAUAAGAAGAGGUUGAAAGCCAAUGGCUCAAAGGAGGCCAAAAAAGUUGAAAAGGUGAGGGAUUUGGGGGAGAAAAUGGUGGGUGGUGGAGAUGCAGUGGAGGCGAUGAGGGAAGAGGAGGCGAAAAGUGAUGUGGUGGAAUUGGGGAGUGGGGAUGAGGAGGCAAAGGUUGGCUUGAUUGAAUCAGUUCCUCUUUCGAGAGGGAAAAUAAAUGGUGGGGUUGUGGGGCUUGUGCAAGAGAAAGAUAAUGGAGUGUCUUCAAUGUGUGUAGAGGAGACAGUGAAGAGCAAUGAGCCUGAAAUCGCUGUAAUGAAUGAGGACUUGCAGGGAGAUUAUAAUAGGAAUGAUGAAUGUGAAGAAAAGACCAGUGAUUCGUUGCCAAAUUCCAUGAAUAAUGAGGGUUUAGUGAAAGGAAAUUAUUUGGAUGAGGUUAUGAUGGAUGGAGGAUCUAAGGAAGGUGACAGGAAUGAUCAAUGUGAGGAAGGAACUAGGGGGUCAGUGCCAGUUUUAAUGGACGAGGAUUCAAAGAACGAGCUUGGGAAGGUGACAGUGAAUACAAUUUCGGGAAGCAACAGUGAUUCUGAAGUGAAGGGUGACGGGAAUAAUGUAUCUGAAGAGGGGACUAGCAGGGCACCUGUAAUUCCUAUUAAUAAGUCAUCGCCAAUUUUGGUUAAUGAUAGUAAUAGUAAGCCGCAGGAGAAGCCUCUUAGGAGGUUUACCAGGUCAUUGCUGAAGCCAAAGAAAGAGACAGUGAAAGAAUCCACUGCUAAAGAUGGUGUGGGAGGGAAUGAUGCGAAAGCAAUUUCAAGUAUUGAUGAUGCAGGUAGUUCCUCGGUUGCCAAUUCCCAUGCACUGUUGAAGACGGUGAAGAAUGAUGCAUCAAAGAAAUUUCCAUCGAAGUUGAAGGAUCUUCUUGAUUCGGGGAUAUUAGAGGGAUCAAAGGUGAAGUAUAUGCGGGGCUAUAAGGCGAGAGCUCCUGGAGAGACAGGGUUGCGCGGAGUUAUCAAGGGAUCGGGGAUUCUCUGUUUUUGUAGCGCUUGUGGAGGAAAUGAAGUUGUUACACCUUCUUUAUUUGAGCUGCAUGCUGGCAGUGCAAAUAAACGUCCACCAGAGUAUAUUUACCUGGAGAAUGGGAAUACACUUCGUGAUGUGAUGAAUGCAUGCAAGGAUGCAUCAUUGGAGACGGUGGAUGAAGCUAUUCGGCUUUCUAUUGGUUGUUCAUCUUUGCAGAAAUCUGCUUUCUGUCUGAACUGCAGAGGGUCAAUUGCUGGGGUUGAUGCUGGAAAAUCAACGGUAUUAUGUAGUCAAUGCAUGGGGUUGAGAAAUUCUCAAGCGAGCUUAUCAGGGACAACAGAUUCAGACAAAGGGUAUGCUGAACCAUAUUUCUAUGCUUAAAUCACUGACAAUAUAUUUUUCUAGAAUCUACAUGUUAUAUAUAGUUAUGUAAUGAAUGAUGAAUUCAAAAUCCUAGUGUAUUUUCAUCUCAUGCUUUGAUGGUUCCCUUUCAUGAGCAAGUUACUUCAUCCUAGACUACAUGAGGGCAAUCGAUUGGAGCAUGAUGGCCUUGAUUCUGGCCCUAUUUUGUAUUGGAAAAUCUUUUCCUUUCUUCUCUUUGUUAUAUUGACUACAAUUUCAUGUGCUAAAGUUUGUGGCAUUUGGCGGUAACAUUAUAACUAAGAAUUACAGCUAUCAUAUGAUUGAUUGGUUAACUUCAAUUGAUAGUAUAUGUGUGUUGCUUGGACUUAGUAUGGGUGUUGGAUGUACACCACAUUUUACCGGGUAUGUUCAAUUUUUUGCUACUUUGUUCAUUAUAUUUGAUUGAUCAAUUGUAAGUACCCAUGUUCCUGCUCUUAUAUUUUGUGAUGGUCUUCUAAUUUCUAAUAUCAUGAGUGGUUGUGUCAUCACAAAUUUCUCAGUUUCUUGCCCGUCUAUUUCUCUCUCCUUUAUAUUUAUAUUAAAUAUGACAGUGUCUUCAUGUGGAUUGCUAACUAUAAAGCUUGUUAGAUCAGUUUAUCUUCUGUUUUUACAUUCUUUUGCUUAACUUUAUGCAAAACCUGUGUAUAGGAUUUGUUUUUUAGUCAUAGACAGAAUUAUGUGCUUCUAACUAACUACAAAUCCCAUACGUAUGCAAUUUAAUAUUUACAUUUCCUGGGUGUAAUUGUUGAUAAUCAGAUUUCUUUGUUGCAUAAUAAAUUUGGACUGAAAAUCUUUUUCUGGUUUUUAUUGCUAAAAAAUUUAAUAUGUUUCUAUUGUCUUGUUUCAGAACUCCAAAACCACUUCCGGUUCCAAAGUCCUCUGACAGUGUGUCAAAGUGUACCUCGUCACGGAGCAAGAGUCAGGGGAGACUUACAACAAAGGAUUUGCGGAUGCAUAAGUUGGUUUUCGAGGAAGAUGUCUUGCCGGAUGGAACUGAAGUUGCUUAUUAUUCUAGAGGACAGAAAUUGCUGGUUGGAUACAAGAAGGGUUUUGGCAUAUUUUGUUCUUGCUGCAAUGCUGAGGUCAGCCCCUCCCAAUUUGAAGCCCAUGCUGGUUGGGCAUCACGUCGAAAACCUUAUCUGCACAUUUACACAUCUAAUGGUGUGUCUCUUCAUGAAUUGGCAAUAUCACUAUCCAAAACUCGGAAGUUCUCUGCCCAUGAAAAUGAUGACCUGUGCCAAAUUUGUCGAGAUGGUGGGAAUCUUUUGUGUUGUGAUAUAUGUCCAAGGGCUUAUCAUAAAGAGUGUCUUUCUCUACCAGCAAUUCCGGAUGGUAAAUGGUAUUGCAAAUUUUGCUUGAAUACCUUCCAGAAAGAAAAGUUUGUGGAGCGUAAUGCCAAUGCAAUAGCAGCAGGAAGAGUUGCAGGAAUUGAUCCAAUAGAACAGAUAACAAGGCGAUGCAUUCGUAUUGUCAAGACACUAGAAUCUGAAUUUGGUGGAUGUGUGUUAUGCAGGGGCCAUGAUUUUGACAAGUCAUUUGGUCCUCGAACUGUUCUACUUUGUGAUCAGGUACUUAAAAAAGUUAAAAUCAUGUGUAUGCUUGUCAAAACAUUUUGGUUUAUAAUCUUUGCUAUUUUUUAAUGUAUUUCCAAUUAUGUUGUGCUCUAAUUCGUGUGGAAUUUCCCUAGUGUGAGAAGGAGUUCCAUGUCGGCUGUUUAAAGGAUCACAACAUGGAGGAUCUAAAGGAGUUGCCCAAAGGGAAUUGGUUCUGUUGCACAGACUGCAACAGAAUUCAUUCGGCUUUGGAGAAAUUGGUUGUUCGUGGAGAAGAGAAGCUUCCUGAUUCAUGUUUAAAUGCCAUAAAAAAGAAGCAUGAGGAAAACAUUUUGGAGACUGGCGACAGCAUUGAUGUGAGAUGGAGGCUUCUU
rnacentral:misc_RNA from 1 species